AGGUCUUGCUCCUCUUCCUCCAGUACUGCGACAGCCGCGCCCCCAUUCCCAGAUCCCGCACCCCGCCUGCCCCCGCCCUCCACUUCCAUCUCCUGUCGUGCCCCCUUCUCCGGCGGUGCCAGUCUCCCAAUCCCCUCAAGCAUGGUGCUCUCUCCAUCCCUCAGAUCCGGCGGGGCAGCGGCCGUAGCAGCACAGCGAGCGGCGGGCGCCGAGUUACAAGCCGGAGUGCGAGCGUGCCGAUGCCUGGGCGUCGGGGCACAAGAGGGCUAGCUCUGCCUUGCGCCGGUCACCACGGCUCACUGUGGCAGCAGGGGAAGAGGCAGCGUCGGGGAGCAGGAGAUGCUCGGCUCUGCAGGCAGGAGAUGCUAGCCACUUAAGAUCUGGUUGGGGAGCAGGUCUCGAGAUCUGACUUGUUGUUACAGCAGUAGUAACUCGAUAUAUUUAGUCUUUUGUUCUCUGUGCCUGUGAUUUGGUUCCGUCAGUGAUUCUGUUUCGUUGGAUCUCCGUGCUUUGAUUUUGGGUCUGUAGCUCUGUCCCCGCAUCUACCUGUUUCUACCUUGUCUUAUCCUCAAGUGGCACCAUAGCUUACUGUGAUCUAAUUUCUUCUUGUGUGCCUGCCUCUGCAGCUGGUGUUUUGUGCUUUUAUGCUCAGCUCGGCCUUCUUUCUUGUUCGCUGCCUCAGCUCUCGGUUCUCUGCUGUUUUAUUUGCGAUUCAUUAGUCGGCAAUUCAGAGCAGCAGCAUUGUUUUCCUUUGCUUAUUGAUUUGCUGCUGCUAGAGCCUGGCUGGUCUGUUUUGAUUGCCACAGGCCAACAAUAGUACAUGAUCCAAUCUUGCCCUGACCUUUCAAUGGAUUAGUAUACUGGCUUUUUCUCUGUUCGUUUUUCUCUCUCUGUCCGACAGUAGCAAGCUGUAAGCAGCAGCUGCAGCAAGAUGGAUCUACCAAGCAUGAUGACAGCCCCAUUGUUGGUGACAGAGAUGAUUGCAUUACUCAUUCUGAUGGACACAACCAAAUGACCACCGAAGGAAGCAAGGAAGGAUGCGAGAGACUGAGCAUCACGACCCAAAAGAUGGUACACUUCUAUAAAAAAUGGUUGCAGCAAGCAAGGGAGUAUGUGUUAAUCUGACUUCAACUGAUAUUUCAGAGAACAAGUGUAAUCAGCUAUUGUGAUGUGCUUCUUAAUGUAACCUGAGAUAUUGAAUCUUUUGUUUUUGAGAUUAUGAUAUUGAAUCUAAUAUGCUGUAAUUCUGAUAAAUGGGCUGAAAACUUAAUGUCAUUUGAGUUGAAAUGUUGCUAUGAUGAA